UACGUAGGGACCAAGCGUUGUUCGGAUUUACUAGGCGUAAAGGGCGCGUAGGCGGCAAUUCAAGUCAUCUGUGAAAUCUCCGGGCUUAACUCGGAACGGUCAGAUGAUACUGCUUUGCUAGAGUGCGGAAGGGGCAAUCGGAAUUCUUGGUGUAGCGGUGAAAUGCGUAGAUAUCAAGAGGAACACCUGAGGUGAAGACGGGUUGCUGGGCCGACACUGACGCUGAGGCGCGAAAGCCAGGGGAGCAAACGGG
rnacentral:rRNA from 1 species